UGGCUCAGUCCGUAGAGCAUGAGACUCUUGGUCUCAGAGUUGUGAGUUCAAGCCUCAU
rnacentral:tRNA from 1 species